rnacentral:rRNA from 1 species
UAGGGAAUCUUCGGCAAUGGACGAAAGUCUGACCGAGCAACGCCGCGUGAGUGAAGAAGGUUUUCGGAUCGUAAAACUCUGUUGUUAGAGAAGAACAAGUGGGAGAGUAACUGUUCCCACCUUGACGGUAUCUAACCAGAAAGCCACGGCUAACUACGUGCCAGCAGCCGCGGUAAUACGUAGGUGGCAAGCGUUGUCCGGAUUUAUUGGGCGUAAAGCGAGCGCAGGCGGUCUUUUAAGUCUGAUGUGAAAGCCCUCGGCUCAACCGAGGAAGGUCAUUGGAAACUGGAGGACUUGAGUGCAGAAGAGGAGAGUGGAAUUCCAUGUGUAGCGGUGAAAUGCGUAGAUAUAUGGAGGAACACCAGUGGCGAAGGCGACUCUCUGGUCUGUAACUGACGCUGAGGCUCGAAAGCGUGGGGAGCAAACA